ACGGGAGGCAGCAGUGAGGAAUAUUGGUCAAUGGGCGGAAGCCUGAACCAGCCAAGUCGCGUGAGGGAAGAAGGUAUUAUGUAUUGUAAACUUCUUUAGACGCAGAGAAAUAAGAGGGUCGUGACCCUUGAUGCUAGUAUGCGUAGAAUAAGGAUCGGCUAACUCCGUGCCAGCAGCCGCGGUAAUACGGAGGAUCCGAGCGUUAUCCGGAUUUAUUGGGCUUAAAGGGUGCGCAGGCGGUCUUUUAAGUCAGUGGUUAAAUCGUGGAGCUUAACUCCAUCCCGCCAUUGAUACUGGAGGACUUGAUUGUGGUUGAGGUUGGCGGAAUUCGCCGUGUAGCGGUGAAAUGCAUAGAUAUGGCGAAGAACUCCGAUUGCGUAGGCAGCUGACCAAGCCGUAAAUGACGCUCAUGCACGAAAGUGCGGGGAUCGAACAGGAUUAGAUACCCUGGUA
rnacentral:rRNA from 1 species